GGCAUUUUUCUUCCUCCUUCCUUGCUAUUCACGUACAAACAACAACAUACAAACAACAACAAGAAUGAAGGAAUUCCUUCAUUCCUCUCUACCCACAAUUCAGUCUACAUUCACUUGCUUAAUCCCCAAGUAUUUUAGCUUCUUCUUCACUCUACUUUUCACUAUAAUCAGCCAUAUAUGUUCCAUUCUUUUUCAACCAAAAAUCAGUUACCAAAAACUGAAAAUCAACUCCUUUGUUUUCUUUGAUUCCAACCACCACCACCGCCGGUGGCUGCCGCCACUGCAACCCACCACCACCACCAUUAUCCUCCUCGACUCCUCCACCACCCACUGUCUGUCACCACCGCAACCACCUAGAACCACCACCGCACCACCGUUUUCCCUGUCCUCUGUUUCCCCUGCCUCCCUUGUCCCCCUCUGCCGCACCACCAAACGCAACCACCACCAAUUCCAAACACCUCACCACCCUGUAAACCAACCCCUGCCCCCAAGUACUCCGGCGAGUCACCGCAACCACCGCCCAGAAACACCCCUGAACUCCCCUUCUUUCCCCUCCUCGGUUCGAAUCUCUCUCCCCUUCCUUGCUGUUUCGCCGCCGCCAAACCACACCACCACCUUCGCCUUACCGGCGCGGUUCCGCGCCUUUGCGCCGCCCAAGCCCAGGCCGCGGCCACCUCCCUUCCCUCUCUCCUUCCCCUUCGUCCGUUCCCCUGUUCUUCGCCCCUGCUUCGUGCCCAAUUAAAAAAAAAAAAAAAAAAAAGAAAGAGAGAAGAAGGAAAAGAAACCCAAUUGGUUUUACUGUAAACUUCUAAACCCAUUAUCCAAGCCAAGCCCAAUACUCUUACCUUGACCCAAUACCUUAAAAAUUCGGACUCGGAGCUCAGAAAGAACGAACCAGCGAAAAGGCUUAGCAAAUUGUGGAAUUGAGGUACUGCUGGGGACCACGGAAACGAGUAGUGGCGAGGAUUUCACUAUUACCAAGUUCACCUAAGUUAAUGUUAAGUUGUAACAAGUUUCAGUAAAGAUUCGAGAUUAAGUUAUGUACUUUGAUUAAGGAUUUGAGAAGGAUGAUUAUGUGAAUUUUGGAGUGUAAUAGCUUA